rnacentral:lncRNA from 1 species
ACUACGCCUAUUGUUUGUCCUGUGUGCUUUAUUCCGUGGGAUAUUAUUCAAGCAGAUCGCCAAAAUGUGCGUGCUCCAUGUAGCCUAGUGAAGGCUAUGUUAUGGACUCAACCCUAACCGACACGCAACGCAGGCUUGGAGCACCGAUAAUCUGGACACUUCCGGGGAGCCCACUACCCGCUCUGUGGGCACCACUGCCAACUUGAAGGGGAAGAUGAGCAAGAGGUGAUACUGCCACUUAGACUGGCACACUGCCCUCCGGGUCUUAAUCGUUUCACUGAGGGUGGAUUGGAA